GAUGAAGAACGCAGCGAAAUGCGAUAAGUAAUGUGAAUUGCAGAAUUCAGUGAAUCAUCGAAUCUUUGAACGCACAUUGCGCCCCUUGGUAUUCCGAGGGGCAUGCCUGUUCGAGCGCCAUUAUAACCCUCAAGCUCAGCUUGGUGUUGGGGCCUGCUGCACUGGCAGCCCUUAAAAUCAGUGGCGGCGCCAUCUGGCUCUAAGCGUAGUAAUUCUUCUCGCUAUGGAGUCCUGGUGGAUGCUUGCCAUCAACCCCCAAUUUUUCUAUGGUUGACCUCGGAUCAGGUAGGGAUACCCGCUGAACUUAAGCAUAUCAAUAAGCGGAGGA
rnacentral:misc_RNA from 1 species